ACGGGUGAGUAACACGUAGGCAACCUGCCCACCAGACGGGGAUAACGACCGGAAACGGUAGCUAAUACCGGAUAGAUCCUGUCGCCGCAUGGCGAGAGGAAGAAAGGCGGCUUGGGCUGUCGUUGGUGGAAGGGCCUGCGGCGCAUUAGCUAGUUGGUAGAGUAACGGCCUACCAAGGCGACGAUGCGUAGCCGACCUGAGAGGGUGAACGGCCACACUGGGACUGAGACACGGCCCAGACUCCUACGGGAGGCAGCAGUAGGGAAUCUUCCGCAAUGGGCGCAAGCCUGACGGAGCAACGCCGCGUGAGUGAAGAGGGUUUUCGGAUCGUAAAGCUCUGUUGCCAGGGAAGAACGACUUUUGGAGGAACUGCCAGAAGAGUGACGGUACCUGAGAAGAAAGCCCCGGCUAACUACGUGCCAGCAGCCGCGGUAAUACGUAGGGGGCAAGCGUUGUCCGGAAUUAUUGGGCGUAAAGCGCGCGCAGGCGGCCGUUUAAGUCCGGUGUAUAAGCCCGGGGCUCAACCCCGGAUCGCACGGGAAACUGGAGGGCUUGAGAACAGCAGAGGAGAGUGGAA
rnacentral:rRNA from 1 species